rnacentral:rRNA from 1 species
CAAUAGCGUAUAUUAAAGUUGUUGCAGUUAAAAAGCUCGUAGCUGGAUUUGUGGCGUACGGUGUGUUCCGGGCACUUGUUGUCUGAGUAACCUGCUGUUGCCAUCCUUGGGUGGAACCUGUGUGGCAUUAGGUUGUCGUGCAGGGGAUGCCCAUCACUUACUGUGAAAAAAUUAGAGUGUUCAAAGCAGGCUUAUGCCGUUGAAUAUAUUAGCAUGGAAUAAUGAGAUAGGACUUUUUUGCUAUUUUGUUGGUUUGCGCAAAGAGGUAAUGAUUAAUAGGGACAGUUGGGGGUAUUCGUAUUCCAUUGUCAGAGGUGAAAUUCUUGGAUUUUUGGAAGACGAACUACUGCGAAAGCAUUUACCAAGGAUGUUUUCAUUAA